AGUAAGCAGUAUGUAAAAAAUGUAGUCGCAAAAGUGUUCUCUCUAGUCAUAGUUGCCGAUCCUCAAUUGCCCUUCGUACACGUAUAUUAUGCCAAAAUGAGUGACAGUAGCUUCCAAAUCAACACCUUAACUUUAAGCGCCAAUGUCUCCUUCAUAUAAACUCCAAAUCAUAAAAGAUUUGAACCAAAAUCAUAGCCAAAAAUCUAAACUUGUUGAUCUUAGCCUUCAAAGCUCGAAUGGCCUCCAAAAAACUAACCUAGUCUCUAAUAUGGCCUCAGACAACCUCCUCAAAGCCUAUUGGUUAUGAUUUUUGACUAAUAGAAAUGGAGAUUUUCAUCAUCCAUCUCCAUUCAUCUAUAUGGAUGGCCUAAACUCUCUUUGCU
rnacentral:lncRNA from 1 species